CAGUAGUCACGUAGUUGAUCCUGGCUCAAGAACGAACGCUGGCGGCAGGCUUAACACAUGCAAGUCGAGCGCGUAGCAAUACGAGCGGCAGACGGGUGAGUAACGCGUGGGAAUCUACCCAACCCUACGGAAUAACGCAUGGAAACGUGUGCUAAUACCGUAUACGCCCUUCGGGGGAAAGAUUUAUCGGGGAUGGAUGAGCCCGCGUUGGAUUAGCUAGUUGGUGGGGUAAAGGCCUACCAAGGCGACGAUCCAUAGCUGGUCUGAGAGGAUGAUCAGCCACAUUGGGACUGAGACACGGCCCAAACUCCUACGGGAGGCAGCAGUGGGGAAUAUUGGACAAUGGGCGCAAGCCUGAUCCAGCCAUGCCGCGUGAGUGAUGAAGGCCUUAGGGUUGUAAAGCUCUUUUGUCCGGGAAGAUAAUGACUGUACCGGAAGAAUAAGCCCCGGCUAACUUCGUG
rnacentral:rRNA from 1 species